rnacentral:misc_RNA from 1 species
CCUGCGGAGGGAUCAUUACCGAGUUUACAACUCCCAAACCCCUGUGAACAUACCACUUGUUGCCUCGGCGGAUCAGCCCGCUCCCGGUAAAACGGGACGGCCCGCCAGAGGACCCCUAAACUCUGUUUCUAUAUGUAACUUCUGAGUAAAACCAUAAAUAAAUCAAAACUUUCAACAACGGAUCUCUUGGUUCUGGCAUCGAUGAAGAACGCAGCAAAAUGCGAUAAGUAAUGUGAAUUGCAGAAUUCAGUGAAUCAUCGAAUCUUUGAACGCACAUUGCGCCCGCCAGUAUUCUGGCGGGCAUGCCUGUUCGAGCGUCAUUUCAACCCUCAAGCACAGCUUGGUGUUGGGACUCGCGUUAAUUCGCGUUCCCCAAAUUGAUUGGCGGUCACGUCGAGCUUCCAUAGCGUAGUAGUAAAACCCUCGUUACUGGUAAUCGUCGCGGCCACGCCGUUAAACCCCAACUUCUGAAUGUUGACCUCGGAUCAGGUAGGAAUACCCGCUGAACUUAAGCAUAUCA